UUUUUACCAUACUUCUUAUCCAUAACAACACCAAUAUUACAAAUCAAUGUGAUUUCUUUAUAAACUUGAUCAUGUCUAACAAGAUAAAGUUAAAUAAUAAUAAUCUUCCAAAUUAACAAAUGAAAAUCAAAUGGGAGCUGAGUUGUGCAUGGAAGACAAGAAGCUAGUUGCUAUAGAAACAAGAAAUUAGUUGCUAUGAUUCUCUAAGUUAUUUCGUGUUCGGUUUGAGGUGUAAUUGCAAGAACCAUUUGGAUGUAUCAGUUGUCGCGGUUCAGGUGAGUAUAUCUUUAUGUAUAUAUUCUGUCAUGGGGGUUAAUAUGAUUUGAAAAACAAACCAUGAUUAACUGGUUAUAUAUUGUGUGAGGCCACAAGUCUUGGGUAAUGAUUCAUGAGCUUGGUGGUUUAAUAUGGAUCCAUAUUAUGUAUGAGGGUUAGGACGUUAUGUAAGACCCGAUUGGCUUUAACGUUCCUAACAUGAUGUGAUAUGAGAUGUGGUUGGCAUGACAUGUAUGUAAAUAUAUAGAUAUACUCAUAAAGCAUUCGCUUAUUGUUUAGUUCUUCUCAUUUCUAUAAGCAUUCCUAAUGUAUCGAGACAAGAAGAAGAUGGACUAGAAGUUUUGCGGUGCAGAAGUAUAUCUUAGAGGAUAUAACUUAUUUGUGAUCAUGGGUUAGUGAUCCCUUACACUUAUAUUUUUGGUACUUAUAUGUGCCCAUAAUAAUUAAAAUUGGAUCUUUUUGACAUAUAUAUUUAAUAUAUCAUUUUUGGAUUUU